rnacentral:rRNA from 1 species
CAAUAGCGUAUAUUUAAGUUGUUGCAGUUAAAAAGCUCGUAGUUGGAUUUCGGUUAAGAGCGACCGGUCCACCGUUUGGUGUGCACUGGUUGGUUUUAACUUCCUGUAGAGGACGUGCUCUGGGUUUAACGACCUGGACUCGGAGUCUACGUGGUUACUUUGAAAAAAUUAGAGUGUUCAAAGCGGGCUUACGCUUGAAUAUUUCAGCAUGGAAUAACACUAUAGGACUCCUGUCCUAUUUCGUUGGUCUCGGGACGGGAGUAAUGAUUAAGAGGAACAGUUGGGGGCAUUCGUAUUUCAUUGUCAGAGGUGAAAUUCUUGGAUUUAUGAAAGACGAACUUCUGCGAAAGCAUUUGCCAAGGAUGUUUUCAUUAA